ACUCCUACGGGAGGCAGCAGUGGGGAAUAUUGCACAAUGGGGGAAACCCUGAUGCAGCCAUGCCGCGUGUGUGAAGAAGGCCUUCGGGUUGUAAAGCACUUUCAGUAGGGAGGAAGGUAGUGUAGUUAACACCUGCACUAUUUGACGUUACCUACAGAAGAAGCACCGGCUAACUCCGUGCCAGCAGCCGCGGUAAUACGGAGGGUGCGAGCGUUAAUCGGAAUUACUGGGCGUAAAGCGCAUGCAGGCGGCCUGUUAAGUCAGAUGUGAAAGCCCGGGGCUUAACCUCGGAAUUGCAUUUGAAACUGGCAGGCUAGAGUCUUGUAGAGGGGGGUAGAAUUUCAGGUGUAGCGGUGAAAUGCGUAGAGAUCUGAAGGAAUACCAGUGGCGAAGGCGGCCCCCUGGACAAAGACUGACGCUCAGAUGCGAAAGCGUGGGGAGCAAACAGGAUUAGAUACCCUGGUAGGCUACCG
rnacentral:rRNA from 1 species